rnacentral:rRNA from 1 species
ACCUGAGCGGGGGGCUAUACUGCAAGUCGAGCGGACAGAUGGAGAGCUUGCUCCCUGAUGUUAGCGGCGGACGGGUGAGUAACACGUGGGUAACCUGCCUGUAAGACUGGGAUAACUCCGGGAAACCGGGGCUAAUACCGGAUGGUUGUUUGAACCGCAUGGUUCAAACAUAAAAGGUGGCUUCGGCUACCACUUACAGAUGGACCCGCGGCGCAUUAGCUAGUUGGUGAGGUAACGGCUCACCAAGGCAACGAUGCGUAGCCGACCUGAGAGGGUGAUCGGCCACACUGGGACUGAGACACGGCCCAGACUCCUACGGGAGGCAGCAGUAGGGAAUCUUCCGCAAUGGACGAAAGUCUGACGGAGCAACGCCGCGUGAGUGAUGAAGGUUUUCGGAUCGUAAAGCUCUGUUGUUAGGGAAGAACAAGUACCGUUCGAAUAGGGCGGUACCUUGACGGUACCUAACCAGAAAGCCACGGCUAACUACGUGCCAGCAGCCGCGGUAAUACGUAGGUGGCAAGCGUUGUCCGGAAUUAUUGGGCGUAAAGGGCUCGCAGGCGGUUUCUUAAGUCUGAUGUGAAAGCCCCCGGCUCAACCGGGGAGGGUCAUUGGAAACUGGGGAACUUGAGUGCAGAAGAGGAGAGUGGAAUUCCACGUGUAGCGGUGAAAUGCGUAGAGAUGUGGAGGAACACCAGUGGCGAAGGCGACUCUCUGGUCUGUAACUGACGCUGAGGAGCGAUAGCGUGCGGAGCGAACAGGAUUAGAUACUCUGGUAGUCCACGCCGUAAACGAUGAGUGCUAAGUGUUAGGGGGUUUCCGCCCCUUACUGCUGCAGCUAACGCAUUAAGCACUCCGCCUGGGGAGUACGGUCGCAAGACUGAAACUCAAAGGAAUUGACGGGGGCCCGCACAAACG